GACCCUGCCUGUGAUAGAUACUCA
rnacentral:siRNA from 1 species